rnacentral:rRNA from 1 species
UACGUAGGGUGCAAGCGUUAAUCGGAAUUACUGGGCGUAAAGCGCGCGUAGGCGGUUGUGUAAGUCAGAUGUGAAAUCCCCGGGCUCAACCUGGGAAUUGCAUUUGUGACUGCACGGCUAGAGUGUGGCAGAGGGGGGUGGAAUUCCACGUGUAGCAGUGAAAUGCGUAGAGAUGUGGAGGAACACCGAUGGCGAAGGCAGCCCCCUGGGUUAACACUGACGCUCAGGCACGAAAGCGUGGGGAGCAAACAGG